rnacentral:tRNA from 1 species
GGAAGGGUACGUUAAUAGGUAAACGAGCUGAUUGCUAAUCAGUAAUUCUGAAAUAUGGGUUUGUGGGUUCGAGUCCCGCUCCUUCCGCUA